AUGAACGCUAGCUACAGGCUUAACACAUGCAAGUCGAGGGGCAGCAUGGUCUUAGCUUGCUAAGGCUGAUGGCGACCGGCGCACGGGUGAGUAACACGUAUCCAACCUGCCGUCUACUCUUGGACAGCCUUCUGAAAGGAAGAUUAAUACAAGAUGGCAUCAUGAGUCCGCAUGUUCACAUGAUUAAAGGUAUUCCGGUAGACGAUGGGGAUGCGUUCCAUUAGAUAGUAGGCGGGGUAACGGCCCACCUAGUCUUCGAUGGAUAGGGGUUCUGAGAGGAAGGUCCCCCACAUUGGAACUGAGACACGGUCCAAACUCCUACGGGAGGCAGCAGUGAGGAAUAUUGGUCAAUGGGCGAGAGCCUGAACCAGCCAAGUAGCGUGAAGGAUGACUGCCCUAUGGGUUGUAAACUUCUUUUAUAAAGGAAUAAAGUCGGGUAUGGAUACCCGUUUGCAUGUACUUUAUGAAUAAGGAUCGGCUAACUCCGUGCCAGCAGCCGCGGUAAUACGGAGGAUCCGAGCGUUAUCCGGAUUUAUUGGGUUUAAAGGGAGCGUAGAUGGAUGUUUAAGUCAGUUGUGAAAGUUUGCGGCUCAACCGUAAAAUUGCAGUUGAUACUGGAUAUCUUGAGUGCAGUUGAGGCAGGCGGAAUUCGUGGUGUAGCGGUGAAAUGCUUAGAUAUCACGAAGAACUCCGAUUGCGAAGGCAGCCUGCUAAGCUGCAACUGACAUUGAGGCUCGAAAGUGUGGGUAUCAAACAGGAUUAGAUACCCUGGUAGUCCACACGGUAAACGAUGAAUACUCGCUGUUUGCGAUAUACUGCAAGCGGCCAAGCGAAAGCGUUAAGUAUUCCACCUGGGGAGUACGCCGGCAACGGUGAAACUCAAAGGAAUUGACGGGGGCCCGCACAAGCGGAGGAACAUGUGGUUUAAUUCGAUGAUACGCGAGGAACCUUACCCGGGCUCAAACGCACGACGGCGGCACGUGAAAGCGUGCUUACCUACGGGACGUUGUGCGAGGUGCUGCAUGGUUGUCGUCAGCUCGUGCCGUGAGGUGUCGGCUUAAGUGCCAUAACGAGCGCAACCCUUGUUGUCAGUUACUAUCAGGUUCCGCUGAGGACUCUGACAAGACUGCAAUCGUAAGAUGUGAGGAAGUUGGGGAUGACGUCAAAUCAGCACGGCCCUUACGUCCGGGGCUACACACGUGUUACAAUGGGGGGUACAGAGGGCCGCUACCACGCGAGUGGAUGCCAAUCCCCAAAACCUCUCUCAGUUCGGACUGGAGUCUGCAACCCGACUCCACGAAGCUGGAUUCGCUAGUAAUCGCGCAUCAGCCACGGCGCGGUGAAUACGUUCCCGGGCCUUGUACACACCGCCCGUCAAGCCAUGGGAGCCGGGGGUACCUGAAGUGCGUAACCGCGAGGAGCGCCCUAGGGUAAAACUGGUGACUGGGGCU
rnacentral:rRNA from 1 species